rnacentral:rRNA from 1 species
CAAAAACAUAGCUACGUGAUACUACUCGUAGUAAUUUCUGCUCCAUGAGACUUAAAUAGCCGCAGUACCCUGACUGUGCAAAGGUAGCGUAAUCAGUUGUCUUCUAAUUAAAGUCUUGCAUCAACGAACAUAUGGGGGCCCACUUUACCAGUAAUAAAAAAUGAAUUUACUGAGAGGGUGCAAAUACCCUUAUAAACACAAUAGACGAGGAGACCCUAGAAAUUUUCACAAUCGUUUUUGUUGGGGCAACACAGUAACACUAAACUUACUUUAUAGACAUGAAACUUGUUAGAGAGUAGAAAUUACUCUAGGGAUAACAGCAUAAUGUAUAAUCGUUUGUGACCUCGAUGUUGGACUAGGGAGUCAUAGCUUAAAAGGCUAAUGACCUCGCUCUGUUCGAGC